rnacentral:rRNA from 1 species
GACGAACGCUGGCGGCGUGCUUAACACAUGCAAGUCGAACGGAAAGGCCCUGCUUUUGUGGGGUGCUCGAGUGGCGAACGGGUGAGUAACACGUGAGUAACCUGCCCUUGACUUUGGGAUAACUUCAGGAAACUGGGGCUAAUACCGGAUAGGAGCUCCUGCUGCAUGGUGGGGUUUGGAAAGUUUCGGCGGUUGGGGAUGGACUCGCGGCUUAUCAGCUUGUUGGUGGGGUAGUGGCUUACCAAGGCUUUGACGGGUAGCCGGCCUGAGAGGGUGACAGGCCACAUUGGGACUGAGAUACGGCACAGACUCCUACGGGAGGCAGCAGUGGGGAAUAUUGCACAAUGGGCGGAAGCCUGAUGCAGCAACGCCGCGUGCGGGAUGACGGCCUUCGGGUUGUAAACCGCUUUCGCCUGUGACGAAGCGUGAGUGACGGUAAUGGGUAAAGAAGCACCGGCUAACUACGUG